rnacentral:lncRNA from 1 species
UUUUUAUUUUUUUAAUUUUUAUUUAAUGUGCAAUUCACAUUCAUGUUGUUGUGCAACUCUGUCACCACCCCAAAGGGAGGCUCUGUCCCCGUUCAACACUCCAUCCCCGGCCCCCAUCCUAGGCUCUGUCUCUGUGACCCUGAUGACUCUAGGAACCUAACCUCAAUGGAAUCCUACACCGCUUGUCCUCUGGUGACUGGCUGGCUCCUCCUCCAGGUCCGUCCGCGCUGCAGCAGGUGUCCUUCUUGUCUGAGGCUGCAUGAUAACCCACUGCAUGGACAGACCCUCAUCCGAUGAUGGACACCCGCCUUGCUUCCGUGUUCUAGCUCUUGUGAAUCACCGCUGUGAACACGCUGUGAACACGGGUGUGCAAACAUCAGCCCGGGUCCCUCAAGGGGGACACCUGCCCGCCUGCCUCUCUCAUUCAUUCCCAGUGGUGGGGAAAUUCCAAGUGGUUCGAAAGAGGUGACAAGUGGUUCGGCAAAAGAAUCACAAAGGCCCCGACUCUGCCUGGGGCCAUGGGGAAGAGCCCCCAAGGUGGGGGCGGCCCUUGGGAAGGCGAUGGGAAGGGGAGUAUGCAGGUGUCCCCUGGACACGGGCCUGGGGGAUCCACAUGGCAAGCGUGGAGCUCCUGGAAGCCCCACCUAAGAUCCUGGGUUUUGUCCUUUAUAUGAUGGAAUCAGGAGGGGGACGGGAACAGUCUCGCUUUUAUAAAUGUUGGUGGGAAUGGAAGUAUUUUUCCAGGAGAAAGUCCUAGAAGGCCUGAUACAGCAAAUUUAGAGGCUGUGUCACUCGGGCUGAGAGACUGGGGCAAGUGGGCAUCUCUCCCUCUCCCCCCUCCCCAUCCCCAGCUCCCAUUCCAUCUUCCUCCCUUCUCUCCCCCCACUCCCUGCAUGGUGGUCAAGCCCACUGACCCAGGACACAGUCUGGUCCCUCCGGGGACCUCACCGUGCAGAGCCAUCCCUACCCUGGGACAAAUGGGGCCCUCCCUCCCACCCCACCCCCCAUCCUGGAGUCCGGAGCCAAGUGGCCCCAGCUUCCCGACCUCAGGACCCCACCUCCCUGCACACCAGGAGGGAGGCCUGGGGGGAAGGGGAGAGGCCGUGAGGGAGGGGAGCCCCCGGCGUCCCCAGGGAGUACUGCUAACCCACAGCACAUAAUCCUGUUAAAAUAUUAAUCCUCAUUUAGCUGGAGGCGAGGUGGCCGCUGAGAUAAAGCUCCUGAGUGGUAAUAAAAGGCGCAGCAAUUGAUAAAGUGGAUCGUCGCACUAAUAAAAUCCCGCCAUCGUGAAGGUCGGGUCAGGCCCCUGUCAUCGAGAACCACCAGGCAGGUCCCAGCCGCCGGGCUGGCAGAGGUAGGGGGUGACCGCCUCCCCCGACAGCGACAGGAGGGCGCUCACCAUGGGGGGUCUGCUCGCAGCUCCAGCAGAGGGAGCAGAGGGGGGCUGACUCUCCUUGGGAAGGAACCCCCAGCCUUGGGCCACUGUCUCCUCCCCCAGGGACCCGACCUGGUCACAAAGAUGGUGGGGCCUCCUGGCGGCACACCUGCUGAGCCCAGGCCGGUCUGGCCUCUCACUGCCCCCCAGACACCGGUCCCAGGCUCAACGGCUCAGGCCUCCCCGGGACAUGAGGAUGAAGCAUCCAAUGCAGCCCCAGCGGGGUGCCCAGGGACCGCCUCCCAGAUGGCAUGGCCACACCCAGGGCCCUGUUUGGGAAAGGUCAUCUGCUCAAACUCUGUGUUCCCGUCCCUCCUGAAGGCAGCUUAACAACAUAAUCAGGCUGCUCUCCAUUCAGCGCCCCCCAAAGCCAAUAGUGCAUCAGCGACACCACUGCUUUCCUUCCCAAAGGGCAUGGACCAGGCAUCGAGGGAGACCGUUAGACCCACAUUUGCCACUUGUCACCGUGGAAAUGGAGAGGGCGGGCUCAGGACUUCCACACUCCCCCAGUAGAGGGGACAGCCCACAGCUGGAGCGCCCGCCCGUGUGCCCAGCCCCCCCACCAGGGCAUCUCCCUGGCAGGCAGCACCAGCCCAGGGGCUACAUGGGGCCGGGGGGUGGGGCAGAUGGGGAGACAAGGAUUCCUGGUUUGGAGAAACCACUCCAACUGCUGCAUAGAGACAAAGGAGAAGCCACGAGAUCUGUCAGAGUCCAGACGCUGCUCGUGCCACCCAUGCCUUCUUGCCUUCGUGCCUACUGUGUGCCAGGCACCACACCAGAUGGGGACAGAGCCUUGCUCAUGGCCAGAAACAAUGGCGCUGUCGCUUGUCACACCCAGCUCUUGGUCCCUAAUAUCCCCCGCCAACAAAAGGAACCAGGCCCCUUGAGAAACGAAUACACUAAGAGGAGCCUGGUGCGUCCUGGGGUCAAGGAACAAGGCGACAGGCAUGACAAAGGGAUCCAGGCGCCAACGGAGAGAGCUCCGGGUGGCCAGAGAUGGAGCAAUCAGAGCAACAAAAUCAAUCAGGUGGCAGUGGGUUACAUACUG